UACAAAGGAAUUGACGGGUCCCGCACAAGCAGCGGAGCGUGUGGUUUAAUUCGUUGCUACACGAAGAACCUUACCUGGGUUUGACAUAGCAGUGGUAGGGAAGAGAAUUCGGACCGACCCUUCGGGAGCUGUUACAGGUGUUGCAUGGCUGUCGUCAGCUCGUGUCGUGAGAUGUUCGGUUAAGUCCGCUAACGAGCGCAACCCGCGUUGUGUGUUAUAUGUGUCACACAAUACCGCCGGUAUUAAGCCGGAGGAAGGUGCGGAUGACGUCAAGUCAGCAUGACCUUUAUAUCCAGGGCUACACACACGCUACAAUGGACAGUACAACAGGUUGCCAAGCCGCGAGGCGGAGCCAAUCCUCUAAAGCUGUCCUCAGUUCAGAUUGCAGGCUGCAACUCGCCUGCAUGAAGUUGGAGUUGCUAGUAACCGCAGGUCAGCUAUACUGCGGUGAAUACGUUCCCGGGGAUU
rnacentral:rRNA from 1 species